AAUGAACGCUGGCGGCGUACUUUACACAUGCAAGUCGAGCGAGGCGGCCCGCAAGGGCCAGUCGAGCGGCGAACGGGUGAGUAACGCGUGGAUUAUCUGCCCUGAGGUGGGGGAUAACCCGGGGAAACUCGGGCUAAUACCGCAUAUGACCGAGAGGUCAAAGGGGGGUCGCAAGAUCUCCCGCCAUAGGAGGAGUCCGCGUUCGAUUAGCUAGUUGGUAGGGUAAUGGCCUACCAAGGCGACGAUCGAUAGCCGGCCUGNGAGGGUGAUCGGCCACACUGGAACUGAGACACGGUCCAGACU
rnacentral:rRNA from 1 species